AUCAGGUGAUAACUCAACAGACACCUGAGUCUUAUAAAUAGACUCAGGUCUAUUGAGAGAGUUCAGAUGGGGAAGAAGCCAUAGGGAGCAAACAGGAAGACUGGCUCGCUCGCGUGAAGGGCUGAAGUGCCAGAGCCUGUUGGAACCUGGAGGCCUUAGGCUGGGCAGGACAGUGCUUGAUCCCAGAGGCAGGGAAAGGCAGUGGAACCCCAGGAGAGGGCUGAGCACGGGGCCCAGAGGAUACAUUGAUUCUUUAGGAUUACAUCAGGACAUUUGGUUACCCUGGAAGGGGUUUGGACUAGCUGAUUCCCAGCCAGAGGGCUGAGUGGCAUGCAAAGACAGAUGGUGCACUGGCAGUGAGUGUGCAUCCUUACAUGUGCCCAAACCCAUUUCUCAUGUCAUAGACUGUAAAGAUUCUGGCUUUGGGGAAUUCUCGCAAGAUGUCUUCAAUUGUGGGCACUGAAUAGUGGCCUCUUUUAAAUGACUGGUUCAGACUCUGGGUCUAUGCAGAAGUGUAACGGCCCGAUGGCUUCUUUACCACCAUCAUUCUCUUACCCAGGCUGUACUGGCCUCUUCAGGUGCCAUGAUAACCUGCUCUGCAGACUUUCAAGCUUCUUAAAUACUGGGUUGCAUAGUGCCCCUGGAAUUUCCUUCCUGAUAAGCACACAGGUUCCACAGUAGGGGUUCCUGCCAGUUUCAGGUUUCACUUGAAGCACCCAUAGCCUUUGAAAACAUUCCCAGUGUCUCCAUUGUUGGUGGGAGUCAGGGUUGAGUACCUUCAGCUGAGCCUGAGUACUAGCCAGACCAGCCUCCAGGCUGAUUAAUGAGCUUGGCUGGGUUGCGGUAGGAUCACUUGAUUGACUGACCUACCUGACUGGCUUAAGAGAGCAGGGAGGCCUGCUUUUAAGCUCACCAGCAACAGCUGGUUGUUGGCUGCUCAAUGCUUCUGCCUGCAGCUGUAUCCACUCUUGCUCCUGCCUUGCUCCAGCCCUGCCCCGCCUUGUUCCAGCCUGCUUUGAUCCUGCCCCUGCCUUGUUCCUGACUCACUCCAGCCCUGCAUUCUGUUCCUGGCUCCUGACUCUGGCUCUAACCCUUAGCUCUGGCUGUGAUUCCUGGUUCCUGACUUUGGCUCCAACCCCUGGCCGUCAGCUCUGAUUCCUUCAUUCUGGUUAUAACCUGGGAUUACCAGCACCUGCCUCUGACUGUGGGACUCCUCAUUUUACUUCUUGAACUACAGCUAUACAAUUCCAAUGCUGCACUCUGAUCAUAUUCAUAGCUUGUAUGGCCUCUGUCUAAGUAACAGCUCCUCCAGGGAACGUGGGCCUCUGAUGCCAAAUGCACCAAUCGGAAUACAGUUGCCAUUUGUGCCUUUGGAAAUCUCCCACUGCGCGACUGAAAAAUCAAGAGAUGCUGUAACAGGACACUAUCUCAAGUUAGGAGUAUGUUUGUGAGCUCUUUAUCUGUCUGAGAAAUAUGGAAGUGAACAGGAGCAGGCAAUAGACACAAGUGUAGACACUUUUUGCAGAGAACUCACCUUGACCUCAAUGGGAAUUCAAUGUGCACAGCAGUAGAAGAAAUAAGUCUUUAUACUUAGCAUUUUGUAAAGUAUUAUUCUGAUAGUAAAAAUGAAGGCUCGUUCAUCCAGUUAUGUCACUGAAAUGGAAAGUGGACAUUAUAUAUCGACAUAUAAUAAAUUAAGCCAGCUCCUGUAUGUACAUUUCCAAAUGGACCUGAUUCUGAUCUCACUCCACUUUUACACCAGUAUGACUCUAUUGAAGCUAUUCCUAAUUUAUGCAGUGUAAAAGCAAUCACAAUCAGACCCAUAUUCUACACUGUGUGUCAGCAGCAAAAUAGAGUAAGUGGGCUUCUGAGCAUGCAAAUCAUUUAACCAUCAUGGAAAAAGGAAGAGACUGGACCACAUGAGGAAAGUGUUACUGUUUUAUGGGAAAUGUGAUCCUCUCAGCCAGCUAAUUGAAUUGUUGAGAGGGAAAAAAUGUUGUAACCAUGAUUUCGAUAUUUAUUUAUUUAUUUAUUUAUUUAUUUCUUCUUUACGAAAAGAAUCUCAUUCCCCCACGCUCCCUUCCCAGAUUUCAGAAGUCAAAGGAUCAUCCAUCUCUUUCCUUCCAAGGUUUUCCUUUCUAUCACUUUGCUUUCUAACUCUUUCUUCCUCCUCUGAUUUUUUCCUCAGUAGAGCCUGUGCUUCAGGACCAGACCCAUCUGAAGCACCGGGUCUUCAGAACUCUCUAGCUCAACAUCACAGGAAUGCAGACUCUUUUGGAAUGUCAACAACCUCAGUCCUAUCUCCUUCUACAGAGACAGCUAGGGACAUAGAAGCUACUUCAGUCAUUAGGUUAAAAUAGCAGCCACUGAGCAUAUCUGUGUUCAUCCCAAGCCUGUGGAUGGUGGAUUUCUUUCUCCUGUGGAGUUUCCUAGAGCCCAGCCCAGUCACACCAGCUGGGCACUUGGUGAAGGAUUUAUAUUCGUGUAUCCAAACCAUACUGUCUCUCUUAUUUACACUGUAAUCUCCUUGUGGUGAGGACAGUAACUUCUCUAUGCUUUGUACAGCACCAAGUACAUUGCCAGUGCUCAGUAAGUGAUGGUAAUGAUUGCAACUACCGCUAUAAUAUAUACCUGCGGAGUGAUUAAAACCCCUUUUUAUUCAGUUGUAUAAUUUUUUAAAAGCCCAGUAAACUAAGCUUCCCACCUCCUUCCCACUUGACCCUUUUCAAGCAAUCUUUCUCUGGCUAGGUAUGCAGUUAGCUAAUAGUUCAUUUUUUAUGCCUAUAGCAAACAAUGAUGCUAUUCUCAGCUAAUGAUUAAAUAAUUAUUUUGACUUGGCUCUUAAAUACCUUACUUUUGGAUUUGUGCACUGAAUCUACAAAGGGAGG